rnacentral:rRNA from 1 species
AGUGAACGCUGGCGGUAGGCCUAACACAUGCAAGUCGAACGGCAGCACAGUAAGAGCUUGCUCUUACGGGUGGCGAGUGGCGGACGGGUGAGGAAUACAUCGGACUCUACUUUUUCGUGGGGGAUAACGUAGGGAAACUUACGCUAAUACCGCAUACGACCUACGGGUGAGAGCAGGGGAUCUUCGGACCUUGCGCGAUUGAAUGAGCCGAUGUCGGAUUAGCUAGUUGGCGGGGUAAAGGCCCACCAAGGCGACGAUCCGUAGCUGGUCUGAGAGGAUGAUCAGCCACACUGGAACUGAGACACGGUCCAGACUCCUACGGGCGGCAGCAGUGGGGAAUAUUGGACAAUGGGCGCAAGCCUGAUCCAGCCAUACCGCGUUGGUGAAGAAGGCCUUCGGGUUGUAAAGCCCUUUUGUUGGGAAAGAAAAGCAGCAGGUUAAUACCCCGCUGUUCUGACGGUACCCAAAGAAUAAGCACCGGCUAACUUCGUG